AGAGAAAUUUGUAAGGUUACUGCUAAUAAUCUUCCGUCUAUUUAAUUCAGACUUUCUCUU
rnacentral:tRNA from 1 species